rnacentral:RNase_P_RNA from 1 species
UGGGGUGGACGCAUGAUCGCUCCGGCCUGUGCCGGAGAGGAAAGUCCGAACACCACAGGGCACGGUGGUUCGUAACGCGAACUUCGGGCAACCGGAGGAAAGUGCCACAGAAAAUACACCGCCGAUGGAAUGCGUGCAUUCACAGGUAAGGUUGAAAUGGCGAGGUAAGAGCUCACCGCUUCCGUGGUGACACGGAAGGCAGGGUAAACCCCACCGGGUGCAAGACCAAAUAGGGAGACGCUUGAAGGCUGCCCGUCUGAAGUCUCCGGGUAGGUUGCACGAGGUGCCGGGCGACCGGCAUCCCAGUUAAAUGAUCAUGGCCUGUUUAGGCAGGUACAGAAUUCGGCUUACAGUCCACCCCAUUUU